GGGGAAUAUUGGACAAUGGGCGCAAGCCUGAUCCAGCCAUGCCGCGUGAGUGACGAAGGCCUUAGGGUUGUAAAGCUCUUUUGGCGGGGACGAUAAUGACGGUACCCGCAGAAUAAGCCCCGGCUAACUUCGUGCCAGCAGCCGCGGUAAUACGAAGGGGGCUAGCGUUGUUCGGAAUUACUGGGCGUAAAGCGCACGUAGGCGGAUUUGUUAGUCAGGGGUGAAAUCCCGGGGCUCAACCUCGGAACUGCCUUUGAUACUGCAAGUCUUGAGUCCGGAAGAGGUGAGUGGAAUUCCUAGUGUAGAGGUGAAAUUCGUAGAUAUUAGGAAGAACACCAGUGGCGAAGGCGGCUCACUGGUCCGGUACUGACGCUGAGGUGCGAAAGCGUGGGGAGCAAAC
rnacentral:rRNA from 1 species